UACUUCUCUCUCUUUAGAGCUCAAGUUAUAACUGUGAGACUUAUCCCAAUGUUAUGUUGUGACUUCCAUUAGGAAUUAUUACAACCUCUUAUAACUUGAUUACUAUAUCCUUGAUUAAAUUAAGGUCAAACGUUAUUGAAUCGUUUAUUUAUUACUAAACUGAAUAUAUGAAUAAUGAAUCAAGAGACGUUGUAAUUACUGGCUAAGCUUAUAGACUAAAAAGUUUCAAAUCAAACCUUACACUUCAAUCUUCCGCUUCCGUUCCAGUUGAGUAUUAAUGUACCUGUUAAAACAAAAUUAUAUCAUUCACUCUCUAAUCUCUAAUAUGUGUUAUUGAUUCAGAACUCAUAAAAGAAGAGAAAAAAAAAAAGUUAAAAUCUAAUGAUUGUGCAUAUCUAAAAUUUCAUAGGUUUGUAUUAGAUCUAGGCUUAUGAUCAAACUUUUAAUUUUUUAGAAAACUGUCUUCAAUAACUUUUGUGGGAUUCCUUUUUUUGCUAUUUGUUUCUAUUACAUAUAUAUUUACUUUGUUCCAUCCUUUCUACCCAAAAAUCUAUAUUGUAACUUGUAAGUGCUCGAAAUUAUUGUAAUUUUUAUUAUGUUUUGAUACUUGUCGUGUACUUUACAAGUUAUAGAAUUAGCAUAUUUACUACUGUUUUUAAAAUUUUUUUAAAAAAACUUGUGAAUAAUAAAGAUAUGAUAUUGCAAAAAAGCUAGAAAACAGAAAUGGAAAUAGAAAAGUAGUGAAGAAAAAGAAAGUUGAAAAUUGAAUUGAAAAGGAAAAGGGUAAAAGGAAUGACCUGAAAGAGAGACAUAGUUGAGAGAGAUGACUCCAAAAAGAAAGGGUAUGGAUUGAAGGAACAAAAGGGGGAGUUUAGUGUUGUGUACUUAUAGAGAUAAGAGAAAAGAAAGGUGGUGAAUUGACCAUCA
rnacentral:lncRNA from 1 species